rnacentral:rRNA from 1 species
UGGGGAAUAUUGCACAAUGGGCGCAAGCCUGAUGCAGCCAUGCCGCGUGUAUGAAGAAGGCCUUCGGGUUGUAAAGUACUUUCAGCGGGGAGGAAGGGAGUAAAGUUAAUACCUUUGCUCAUUGACGUUACCCGCAGAAGAAGCACCGGCUAACUCCGUGCCAGCAGCCGCGGUAAUACGGAGGGUGCAAGCGUUAAUCGGAAUUACUGGGCGUAAAGCGCACGCAGGCGGUUUGUUAAGUCAGAUGUGAAAUCCCCGGGCUCAACCUGGGAACUGCAGCUGAUACUGGCAAGCUUGAGUCUCGUAGAGGGGGGUAGAAUUCCAGGUGUAGCGGUGAAAUGCGUAGAGAUCUGGAGGAAUACCGGUGGCGCAGGCGGCCCCCUGGACGAAGACUGACGCUCAGGUGCGAAAGCGUGGGGAGCAAACAGG